rnacentral:rRNA from 1 species
UACGUAGGGUGCAAGCGUUGUCCGGAAUUAUUGGGCGUAAAGAGCUCGUAGGCGGUUUGUCGCGUCUGCUGUGAAAACCCGAGGCUCAACCUCGGGCCUGCAGUGGGUACGGGCAGACUAGAGUGCGGUAGGGGAGAUUGGAAUUCCUGGUGUAGCGGUGAAAUGCGCAGAUAUCAGGAGGAACACCCGUGGCGAAGGCGGCUCUCUGGGACGGUACUGACGCUGAGACGCGAAAGCGUGGGGAGCGAACAGG